rnacentral:rRNA from 1 species
UUGUACACACCGCCCGUCACACCAUGAGAGUUUGUAACACCCAAAGUCGGUGAGGUAACCUUUGGAGCCAGCCGCCUAAGGUGGGACAGAUGAUUAGGGUGAAGUCGUAACAAGGUAGCCGUAGGAGAACCUGCGGCUGGAUCACCUCCUUUCUAAGGAA